UGGGGAAUUUUGGACAAUGGGGGAAACCCUGAUCCAGCCAUCCCGCGUGUGCGAUGAAGGCCUUCGGGUUGUAAAGCACUUUUGGCAGGAAAGAAACGUCGCGGGUUAAUACCCCGCGAAACUGACGGUACCUGCAGAAUAAGCACCGGCUAACUACGUGCCAGCAGCCGCGGUAAUACGUAGGGUGCAAGCGUUAAUCGGAAUUACUGGGCGUAAAGCGUGCGCAGGCGGUUCGGAAAGAAAGAUGUGAAAUCCCAGAGCUUAACUUUGGAACUGCAUUUUUAACUACCGGGCUAGAGUGUGUCAGAGGGAGGUGGAAUUCCGCGUGUAGCAGUGAAAUGCGUAGAUAUGCGGAGGAACACCGAUGGCGAAGGCAGCCUCCUGGGAUAACACUGACGCUCAUGCACGAAAGCGUGGGGGAGCAAACAGGAUUAGAUACCCUGGUAGUCCACGCCCUAAACGAUGUCAACUAGCUGUUGGGGCCUUCGGGCCUUGGUAGCGCAGCUAACGCGUGAAGUUGACCGCCUGGGGAGUACGGUCGCAAGAUU
rnacentral:rRNA from 1 species